rnacentral:rRNA from 1 species
UACGUAGGGUGCGAGCGUUGUCCGGAAUUAUUGGGCGUAAAGAGCUCGUAGGCGGUGUGUCGCGUCGGCCGUGAAAACCUGCAGCUUAACUGUGGGCUUGCGGUCGAUACGGGCAUCACUGGAGUUCGGCAGGGGAGACUGGAAUUCCUGGUGUAGCGGUGAAAUGCGCAGAUAUCAGGAGGAACACCGGUGGCGAAGGCGGGUCUCGUGGACAGUUCCGUGACGCUGAGGCACGAAGGCCAGGGGAGCAAACGGG